UAUCACUAAAGGAAUGCUGGGAUUGAUUUUGGUGGUAAUUGCCUCCAAAUUUUAGGAACUAGGGGGCAAAAAACAAGCAUUUUUCUAGUUUCAUGACAAUAACUUGUGUGUAAGUGUAUGGAUCUUUCUGAAAUUGUACUACAUGGUUCCAUAUCACAAAGGGAAAGCUGGAAUUGAGUUUGGGGGUAAUUGCCCUAAACGUUUAGGAAUUUGGGGCCAAAAAGGGGCCAAAAAACAAGCAUUUUUCUAGUUUCCAGACAAUAACUUGUGUUCAAGUGUAUGAAUCUCUCUGAAAUUGUACUGCAAGGUACCAUACCACAAAGGGAAAGCUGGGAUUGAGUUUGGGGGUGAUGAAUCAUAAGGGGGUUCAAAAAAUUGGGGGGGGGGGAUUUUUUUUUCCUUUUUUUUCUUUAACAUUUUCCAUUUUAAAUUGGUUAUUUCUGAUUUAUAUAUAAAAGCAAAUAAUAAUGAUAUGGUUUGAA